AGCAGUGGCCGGUGACAGUUCACAUCGUGGCCGCUCCAGGCUCAUCAGUUGAGAACUUACUAUGUGCUGGGCACUGUGUUAAGGAAAAUACAUAUUAGCAAACUCUUUCAACCAGCCAGUGUUGCGCUAAAGCUGCUGCUUGCCUCUUCCUUUUCAUGCUACCAAAGCGGAGUUCAGCACAACAGAAACAGAUGGACAGAAAGUUUCAGAAGACAUGGGAUUUUAAAAACCACCGAUCUGUUAGGAAACAGCCUUGUUUCCUCAUUUCCACGGAACAAUACUGUUCUGCAGGAUGACCAAGUGAACACUGCAAUUACUGGGAGGUUUUAUAGACACCAUAAAAUUGUAAAACUGCAGAGGUGAUUUCAGUAAUUUAUUGCUGGCUUCUUCAGCUCCCAGACCAAGUUGUAUACAGACAUGAAGGUAAGCUUUCUUCAAUCCUGUGGACAAUGGCAACACCUCAGGAGAUGGUGAAGAAAUAAGAUGGUAGGACCUUGAGUCCCUGAAUGACUGUGUGGAGCAGCACUGCCCUUCCAGUUCUGUACACUCACCUCAGGACUACUUCAGGAGGGAAAUACAAACUCUAAUUGAAGGCAUUCUCUUUUCAUUGUCUCUUUGUUACAGCCACUAAAUCUGAAGUCUCAUACAACGUUCAAAGGCACAGGAAUGUGAAACAUCGCGUUAUGCUCAGGGAAAUCCUUGUGAGUGGAGCAUCGAUGAAUGAGUUAAGAAGCAGUGGGAGGUCGGGCCAGAAAUGUUGGAAAGGCAACAAUCAGUGUGGCUUCGUGUACAGGAAACUCAUGGCUGGGUUUGAUUUCUCAUAACAGAGCCACAAAUGGGCUGUGUACAGACAUCUUUGGUCUUAAUAGGCAUGGAAUGAGGUCUGUCCUCUUCUAGUCAUUUCUGCCUCAAAAACAAACAGCUAAGCAGCACUUUAUUGCUGGCAUCUAACAGCCUUGGUCCUGAAUCAUUGGCCAUGCACCAUGCCUCAAAGAAUCUCAGCUUCUCAUUUUGUGAUGCAUCUUCCAGUUGAUACCUCAGCUGGCCACUUGUACUUCCUGUCUGACCCAGCUGUCCUCAGUCAACAUCCAGCCUUGCCCACCCGGCCCUCUGCAGACUCUGCUUUGGUCCAGAGUUAGGGAGCACUCCCCCUGGGUCACCAUAGACCCUGGGCCAUAAUUUGGUGGAGCACUCCAGAAAUGUAAAACCUUUUGGUCAAAUCUGACAGGUAUUCUAUUUCCAGGACAAAAUUAAUGAGAGAAUUUCUUUUUCUAUACUGAACUUUACUGCCAUGUUGUUAAGGAACUUCCAUAUGCUUAACUUUCUACUGUAUUGGCUGUAGUUGACAAUUUGGAAAACAACUUACUUAAAGAAAAUAGGGGCUUUAAAAAUCCUAUUUCUAAUAAUCAAGAAAGAGGCAUUUUUUUCCUUUAACUUUCCUAUUAAACUUUUUAACCACCCCAGUUUCAAGAAUCUUCAACAUACAAUUAGAUCUUUUAUUAUUUGGUGAUGUUGGGUGUCAGCAAUCUGUGCUUCUACAAAUAAAGCU
rnacentral:lncRNA from 1 species